UGCGGGAUGGAGCAGUCUGGUAGCUCGUCGGGCUCUCAUAACCCGAAGGUCGUUGGUUCAAAUCCAGCUCCCGCUACCA
rnacentral:tRNA from 1 species